AAUAAAGCCAGGGACGACCAUGGUUGGCUGCGGUCAGGAGGGUGGUGUGGGUAGGACCAGAAACAUGCUGCAUGCGUCUGCAGGCAAAUGGGUUACUUCACUUCUCUAAGACACUUUCCUCUUCCACUACACUGGACCUCCCUCCGCUCCACAGGGACAUCAUGAAGUCCAUGGAGCUCGGCGGAAAUGGAAGCCUCCGGUCUAUGGUCAGGUCCUAUCCCACAUGUGCCCAGCACUUAGUGCUUUGGGGCCUGUGUCCUCAUUCAGCGAAGCUUGAGCUCCUGUUUAGUUGAUCAUUUCCACAGAAGGGACAUUGCAUUCAGGCUCCCGUAGGCUCUCAGUUCCCUCCUUUACCCACAAUCACCCCAUCUGUAUUUCUAGCUUACAGAGGCUACAGCAGGAAGAGAGGGAAGGAUGACAGGGGCCUGCUUUCGCUCCUGCAGAGCCUGCUUACUGACACCAUCAGCUUUUGCCAGCUCUUAAGAAGAGAUGCCUGGGCUCAAGGAUCCAGAACAGAAGCUGCCAAAGACCACCAGCCACCUAGGCAUUCCACAGAGCAGUCUAUGGCCAACUUGCCUCUAGUGGCCUCCUUCCCUCUGGUCAAGGAACACUUGCUGCACAAAGAUUCAACUUUGUCACCUACCCUGCUAAAUUCCCUUACUUGUAAGGAAUCACAAACACUUACAUGUGAUUCUACCCCACCAGUGACGACAAUGCCAAAAAUGCAUCCUUUACCACGACCAUGUGGACCAACCUCCCCAUCCUGUCCUCAAGAUCCAGUGUUCUGCUCUCCAUCCGAGACAGACCAAAGCAUGACUCCUCCUCCUUCUCCUCUUCCUCCUCCUUUUCCUCUGAUCUCUCUUCCUCCUCCUCCUCCUCCUCUUUCCCUUCCUCCCUCUCUUCCUCCUCCUCUUUCCCUUCCUCCCUCUCUUCCUCCUCCCACUCUUUCCCCUCCUCCCUCUCUUCCUCCUCCUCCUCUUCCUCCUCCUCCCCUUCCUCUUUUUCCUCCUCUUUCUCUUCCUCCUCCUCCAUCUCCUCCUCCUCUCUCUCUUCCUCUUCCUCUUCCUUCUCCUCCCCCUCCUCCUCCUCCUCCUCCUCAAUGUGAGUGGAAAACACAACUAGUGACCUCACAAAGCACAUCUCCUCCAGCUUUGCCUUGUCCCAUGGCAAGCCCCCCAGGCCUUGAGUACUCAAACAUGUCUCCUUCAAGCUCUUCCUGGUACAAGGCAGCUGCCAGGACCUGGUGUCAUUCUAAGUGGUCACAGGAUGACACCCUGCAAGAGGAUCUCCAUUUCAGCUUCCAGGAGGCCUCAUUGUGGACAGACCCUGGAUACAGGCAGCUAGAGGCUGGAGAACCCCCGUUCAUCAAGCCUGAUGUGCAGAAGAUCCUGGAGCUGCAGAUUAGCAAGAGGGUAGAACUGAAGCUCUGGAAAGAGCAAGGAAGGGAGAGC
ensembl:lncRNA